AAUUUUCAGUUGCGAAUUUCAUUGCAAAAACUUUGCGACAGCUUAACAUAGUGACAAAACUUGCAUCUGUUUUAACUUGUUACAAUUUGCAACUGGAUUGAACUGUACGCGUGCGAAAAGUGAGUGUGGCUGUCCACACUUUCAAACUGACUCAUUAUUCAUCCCAUUCAGAUUCUUUGCAAAGAUGACCCGGUUCUCUUAUCUCUUUUAUUAGCCUCUCAUUCUCAAAUCAUUUUCUUCUCUUAUUUCUCUCUCGUUCUCCGUGUGGAAACGAUGGAAACCACACCAUCUAGAUCUGGCGAAACCCAUACUAAUUCAUCUCUAGUGAUCCUUCUCUUUUUUUUUUCCAGAGAUUAUUUCGAGAGGUUAAUACAAUACUAAUCUCAAUCUGCAAAACCUAAAACUCGUCCUUUAUCAAUGUUUUAAUUUCUAUUUUGAAUCUUGUAUGUUGCAGCUAAUUUACCUGCUUCAGCUUAUAAAUCCGGAGAAAAGCAUCAUGAAUCAGUUAUGUCUUUGUUCUCAAACCCUAAAAAAUGCGAUUUUUGCGGAAUUUUUUUAACACUAGAACCCUAGAAAUUUGUGUACAGAAAAGUGGAAUGAUGUAUGAGUGACGAUGAAGAUACUGAAGAAGAAGAAGAAUCUGAGGAGUUGUAAUCGUUUCAAUGAUUUUCCUCUUGAUUCUCCCAUCCAAGAUGAGUUUCUUUCGCUUGUCUUUAGAUCUUUUUUGGGUUUCAUUGGAUACAUCAUACAUGUUGAGAAAUCUGAUUAUGAUUUAAGAUAAAUUAAGGAUGCUGAGAUAUGGAUUUUAAAUAAGUUUUUCUUAUGGAGAUGUUAAUAGCAUACCGAUAUAGUAAGAAUCUAGCUAAAAGUUACUAAAACUUGAUUGUUUGGUUUGUACUAUAGAAAGAAAAUUUGUGAUUUGUAAUUUUCUAUCUUGGAAGCAUGAUAAGGCUGAUGCAGUUUUAAGUCUAAUUUGUUGAAUCUCAUCUGUCUUAUUGUCGAUAUACCACUUAACUCUCUGGGGUUCAUAAGUUACAAGGAAGUGGAGUUAUUAAAAUUUUGACCAAAAAUGUGUUCAACCCAAUGUUAUGGCAUCAUCGGUGUAAGAUAAUCUCAUAGUGUAGCCAAUUGUAACUUUCAUAUAAUCUGAAUUGAUGCAGUACAUGAAGUGUUAGUGUUAGUUAAAGUAUAAUCUGAAUUGUACCUUCAAUUCGAGGAAUUGACGCUCCUGCAAUUCUUACUUGUGUUGUCCCGAAUGCAAUUCGGUUUUGAUCCUACUAAAGGUGGAACACCCAAGGUCUUUUUCAAAGAUGAGGCUAAUCUUGAACAAGUGAUUGCUACUUGUUGUAAAUAUAGUUAGUAGAUGCUAGUUAUUGACAUUGAUGAAUGAUUAUUGUCAUGGGUUUUAGGUUGAUUGUACUAGACAGAAGAAUCAAAUAGAUUCUGGUAAGGCUCUUUCUUUUGUUUCUUAAGUUUAAUUUGCAUUGUUCCUUGAGGUUGUAUAACCAGUUUAACCCAUUAUGUUAAUAGUUUCAGUUCCAAUCUGAAGUAUUAACUGUUUUGUUGUGAAUCAAGAGAUGGAUGUACAAGUAAACCAAGUUGGUAAGAAAGUUCAGCUAGGGAACUAUGAAGACUACUUGCCCUGAAGACAGGUUUUUGAAUCGACUAUGAAUGCAGCUUAUGAGUCAAGGGUUUUGAGGGUUUUGGUGAUGAUUGUGUUGUGGUGGUGAUGAAACAGUGCACCAAGGUCCAAUAAUGAACAUGGAAAAAACUCACUGCUCACUCGUAUGUCUUAUGAAUUCUUAUGAUGGGGAGUUAGCUUUGACAGGAUGGGGUACUGCGAUGUUGUAGUAAUCUUGCCUUAACUGAAGCAUGCAUUUUGUCUUUGCAUAUUGCGAUACAGGUCACUUUGAUCUUGAUGGGGAAUCCAAACUUUUGAUUAUAAAUGUGCGUAAGUUACUCACCUUUUCUUGUUUUUACGUGCUUUAGGUCUGUCUGAAACUUUUGCUCUUCCAUUAUUAUGAUUAGGGGUGGUGCUAAUCUAUUACGCAGAAUAAACACUAUUCUUAUAGUUGCUCCCUUUUGAGGGCCAGAUUAAUUUCAUCAAAGGCCUCUCUGUCCAGGAUGGUGAAAAGUGUGUAGAUCAACUGCCAAGUGAUCAUCCUAACAGUUCUAGUGACAAAUCAGAGUUACAGAAACUCCCGGCGGGCAUUCUUAUCUUAGCUGCAUAAUUGGGUUUCCUUAAUUUUAUUUCAAAUUUCAUUUAAACUCUUGACAAGCACUCUUUACAUGAUGGUGUAUCAUGUGAUGCUGAUGAUUUUGCCUAUUAGCGAUGUCAAACUUCUUAGGUUGCAUCUUCGAACACCCAAUUGGCAACUAGAUGAUUGUUUUAUCUGCUUCUUGUUUCAGGAUGAUAGAAAGACACAUCCAAUAUAUCCUUAUCAAGAGGAACUACAUCGCAUCCCUUCUGAUAUCUUUACAAAAGAUGUUACUUUUCUGAGCAAGCAAAGACUACUCAUAUUAUUGAAUAUCUGGGAUAUUGUUCGUACAAUAAAAUUGCAUGCUUUCUUUUGGAGUCCA